AAAUGAUGACAUUUAAUAAAGUAAGUACUUACUCUAUUUUUAGCUGCAGCCAUACCAAUGCCUGUAGCUAAAUGUGUUUUACCAACGCCACUUGAGCCUAAAAAGACAAUGUUUUGAUAUUUUUCUAUAAAACGCAAAUCUGUAAAAUCCCAAAUUUCUUGUUGAUUGAUGCUCGGUUGAAAAUUAAAGUCAAAAUCUGAUAUUUCUUUUUUAAACGGAAAUGCCGCC
rnacentral:snRNA from 1 species